ensembl:lncRNA
UAAGGAUGUUCAGCGAAAAAGUGCCAAGCACUUACAGUUGAUAGGUUCACCCAUUCCCCGUAUUCCCCAACACACAAAGAGUAAGGGGAACUCUGCUGGUGCCCCCAGUGCAGGGGGCAAGAAGGGAGGCUAUGAAGAAUCCAGGUGAACUCUGAACAGGUGCAAUCGGGGAGUUCUUGGAGGAUAAGAUGCCUCCUAUCAAAUUAGCAGAAGAGGGCGCCACUGAUAUUCUGCGACCGUUGUAUGAGGCCAGCCUGCACUCGUCCACCAUUUAUUUCCAAAACCCUUGAGUGUGCAGCCUUCUCCCAACUGCACAUCUCGCACAAAACGAGCAUCUGGACCUCACCAGUCUCGACUCAAGGCAGGCCACUCGGCUGAGUCUGCCCUUCUUGACGUCA